UUUCACUUUUAGAAAAGACAAAAAUGUAAUCUGCAUGAAGUCAGGGUGUCUUGGCAGACCCUGCAGGCCAGGAGCCAGACCCUCAUAGGGAAGGAACCCUGGACAUGGGCCAUCACUGCAUGCCUGGGAUGUGGCCCAGAGGCAGCACACAGCACAACCCUGUGGGGAGGUAACAGCUAGUGGAGCUGAAAGAGAAAGGGGCACUGGAGAAGCAGGAAUCAUUAUACGAAAAUUUAAUUUCCAGCUGGAAGACAUCUUGUGGAGACCAUCUAGUUCAGCUUCUUCAUUGUAUAGCUGAGGACACCCAGGCCCAGAGAGGGGAAGUGAUUUGGUCAAAGUCACACAGCAAGUAAAGGACAAAGCUGAGAGCAGAUCCCAGGCAAGCUUCUUCCAUCUGGUGAAAAAGAUGAACACCAGGCGUGUCUGAUCUUCCCAGAGGAAGAAGGGAGCAUCUUUUUGAACAGCAUUUCUGUGAGAAAUGGGAUCCUAAGGUGGCCUCCAAGAUUGACACGCCAUGGUACAAUCUUCGUGAUCGUAAGAAGAACCUGUGAAUACGAUGAGCUAUCACUCCUGUGCUUUUGCGGUUUUAUGUGGCAAAGGGAGAGUGUUCUGGGUGGGCCUGACCUGAUCAGGCAUAUCCUCUAAAAUCAGAGUUUUCUCCAGCUGGUUCCAGAAGACUAAGUCAGAGAGAUGCUCUGUGUUUGGGCCAGAAGCAAGCAAACAUCCACAUUGUGAACUGCCUAUGGGGGCCACCUGGCAAGGAACUGCAGGUGUUUUCUGGGACCUGAGAGCAUUCCCUGGCCAAUCAUUAGCAGGAAAACAGGAACUCACUCCUAUAACUGAGAGGAAAUAAAAUUUACCAACAACCAAUGAGCCUGGAAGAAGACCCUGAGCCUCAAAUGAGAACUGCAGCCCCAGCCAACACUGAUUUCAGCCUUGUAAGUACCUGAGCAGAGAACUCAGCCAUGCUAUAUCAGGACUUCUGACCUACAUUACUGUAAGAUCAUAAAUGUGUUGUUUUAAGCCACUACAUUUGUGAUAGUUUGUUAUGCAGCAAUAGAAAGCUAAUACAACUUCCAAAAAUUCUACUGUGUAAGUCAGGAUCCUUUGGUUGCAAGCAACAAAAAUCAGCUCUGGAUAGCUUAAGCAAAAAAGGAAAUUGGCUGGAACAGUGUUCGUGUAGCCACAGAAUAUGAGCAACUUCUGGGAUGGAUCCAAGAAGGAGAAACAAACAAGGGUUAUGUCCAGGUCUUGUUUCAUUCUGUUAAG
rnacentral:lncRNA from 10 species